AGGUUCAUUAAUAAUUUAUUACCCACAUUUCCAUUCCACAUACUUCCGUCUAUUUGUACACCGGUUGUUUAGAAGUUUGCAACGUUUUCAAACAGCUGUUUGAGCAAAAAUGGUUGAAAUAGGAUCAGGGCCUAUAAAGGAGAGCAUAGAUAACACGGUUUUUAUUGUGCCUGGAUUGAUCAUAGGAUUUUUAGUCAUAUUCUUCACAUAUAAACUUGUUAAAAGUCUACGAGAGAAAGAAAGGUUAAAAGAAGAGAAGAAGAAGCUGAAACAGCAAAGAAAAGAAAAAGAAGCUAAAAAAAGUGUUCCCAGAAAGAAGCUAGGAUAAAUAGAUGAGCAAACAGUUUGACAAAAGACCAAUUUAAAUAAUUUAUUUUUAGAACUUGAAGUUAUGAAAAUGUGGCAGGAAUUUUUGGCUGGAACAGAAAGUCUGAUGCUGUUGGACAUAAUAUUGCAAUAUUUUUGUAGUUGAA